GCCUGCAUGAAGCCGGAAUUGCUAGUAAUGGCAGGUCAGCAUACUGCCGUGAAUACGUUCCCGGGCCUUGUACACACCGCCCGUCACACCAUGAGAGUUGGAGAUACCCGAAGCCUGUGAGCUAACUUAACGAGGCAGCAGUCGAAGGUAGAAUCAAUGAUUGGGGUGAAGUCGUAACAAGGUAAC
rnacentral:rRNA from 1 species